UUGCGCCGCUCCGCCGCGCAGUCGCGCAAUCACAGACAGGCUCCCGUCACGCUCGCGGAUGCAAACGUCACUGCAGCGCGCGGAAUGAUGGCCUGACACAGCCACGAACGGGUUAAGGAUCCAACGUUAAUGAAAGGUGGAUCAUCCAAAAUAUACACUACUAUCGUUUCUUCACAGGGGUGACAGACAUCGCCCACAGUCUGACAGAGAGAAAUAGAACAACAGGAGUCCAUGUAAAGAUUCUAAUAAACACUAAAGGCACAAGAAUCCAGAAAACCAAGAAUGACAAAACACCUGCACAAACCACAGUCACAACUACAGAAAAAAAAAGAACAAGAUUAUACAAUCACUAUACUAUUUCAUGUUGCUGCAAUAUGUGUGUCGUGAUCAGUAAGCUAUGUGUGAGGACAAAAACAAAUAAAUCACCGUUAUAUUACUGUUAUUGUAAGAAUACUAACAGCAACAACUAAUAUAUAAAAAAGCUGUUGAUUAAAGGAGAGGAACCUGACGAUGGGACUGUUGGUAACAGUUCAUACGAGUGAGAAUUAUCUGUGUAUUGCUUGUAAAUAGAGUCAGAUUUUUUUUUUUUUUUUAAGAACAACAUUUACUCUUUUUAAAACUCAAAAUGAAUCAAGUAGUACAGAAUUUUUCAAAUGACAGUACUAGUGAUUUUGGAUGAAAUGUCAUUAAAUGUCUUGAUGGGUCAACAGUA